rnacentral:misc_RNA from 1 species
UAAGAAAACAACAUUUGUGCAGGGCAAGGAUAAUAAGAACAGAAUUAUAAUACGCAAACAACAAUAUGCCAGCAAAAUGAGUUGGGAAAGAUAAUCGAAUGUGAUGCGGAGUACAAUCAUUAAAUGUUAGCUUCGUGCACACUCUCACUCCCACUCCCAAAAUGUAUUAACCAGUGACAUUCAAGAAUGUACAAUUAAAGAGCAAUUUACAUAUUUCAGAAGUGUAAAAAGUUGUAGAAAGCAAUUCCUCACUUCACUAGAUCACCAUCUACUUUGUUAACCAGUGCAGAGAAGGGUCCUUUGGAUGUUUAGAAUUCAUCUUCAAUGUUAUCUUUGAAAUGGCAAUGACAAUAUUAUCCCUCCUUAGUAGCAUUAUAAUUGGUCUCUAAUGCACAUGACCAAUAACAAAAGUAUCCUAAAUCCAUUAUAGUAAUGUUUCACAAGUAACAGAGUAUAAAUUAACAUGUAAAUUUCCCAAUUAACUAUCACAAUUGAAAUUGAAUAGAAAAUAGAAAAAGUGAUAUAACACUGAAUUUCCAGUUCAUAAAUUGGUACAUGUACCAAAUUCACAUAAACCGUCACCAAGUCGGUUAAAGGAGACAUUAAACACCCUUUUGUGUGGCUUUGAACAGUUUCAACCCCCGGACCACCUCUGCCAUCAACCCUUGUGAAUUACCCCCUCACAAUAGUUUAAAUUGUUAAAAUACUAAAUAUAUUUACAAUAAAAGGAAGGUAUGAAUGUCAACAAUGUAUGCACUUGGUACAUCAACAAACUCGGAAGAAAUAACCAAUCACUUGAUUGAUUAAAAUUUAAUGUGAAUUGAUCACAUAAACCUCAAAGGUGGAAACAGGACAAGUAAAGACCAGUUUACAGCAAAA